GCCUGGGUGGCUCAGUCGGUUGAGCGUCUGACUUCGGCUCAGGUCAUGAUCUUGUGGUUUGUGAGUUCGAGCCCCGCAUUGGGCU
rnacentral:tRNA from 1 species